CCUACGGGCGGCUGCAGUCGAGAAUCUUCGGCAAUGAGCGCAAGCUUGACCGAGCGACGCCGCGUGCGGGAUGAAGGCCUUCGGGUUGUAAACCGCUUUGGUCCGAAAGAAAGGGUAAAACUUGAUCGAUCGGAGAAACAAGGACGGGCUAAGUUCGUGCCAGCAGCCGCGGUAAGACGAACCGUCCAAACGUUAUUCGGAAUCACUGGGCUUAAAGGGCGCGUAGGCGGCCGAGCGGGUCACGGGUGAAAUCCUCCAGCUUAACUGGAGAACUGCCCUUGAUACCACUGCGGCUCGAGGAAGGAAGGGGUCAUGGGAACUGUCGGUGGAGCGGUGAAAUGCGUUGAUAUCGACAGGAACGCCGGUGGCGAAAGCGCAUGUCUGGUCCUUUUCUGACGCUGAGGCGCGAAAGCCAGGGGAGCAAACGGGAUUAGAUACCCCAGUAGUC
rnacentral:rRNA from 1 species